rnacentral:rRNA from 1 species
UACGAAGGGGGCUAGCGUUGCUCGGAAUCACUGGGCGUAAAGCGCACGUAGGCGGAUCUUUAAGUCAGGGGUGAAAUCCUGGAGCUCAACUCCAGAACUGCCCUUGAAACUGCAGUGCUAGAAUUCUGGAGAGGCGAGUGGAAUUCCGAGUGUAGAGGUGAAAUUCGUAGAUAUUCGGAAGAACACCAGUGGCGAAGGCGACUCGCUGGACAGACAUUGACGCUGAGGUGCGAAAGCGUGGGGAGCAAACAGG